ensembl:lncRNA
GUGACUAACACUAACACUUUGCCAUGGAAAGUAACAUAUUGCCAAGUUUAAGUAACAAGGAUGUGGACACUUGGAGGGAAUUAAUCAUCUACUUGGACUUCCCAGGUGGCUCAGGGGUAAAGAAUCCACCUGCACUGCAGGAGACUCAGGUUCCAUCUCUGGGUUGAAAAGAAGCCCCGGAGAAAGAAAUGGCAACCCACUCCUGUACUCUUACCUGGGAAAUCCCACAGACAGAGGACCCUACAGUCCUACAGGGACCUCAUGAAGCUGUGGAUGGGACUCUGUCCGUGACGACAUUGGCAUCCCACCUCAGGCAAUGGCACCCUACUCCAGCACUCCUGCCUGGAAAAUCCCAUGGACGGAGGAGCCUGGAAGAUCCCACAUGCUGCAGAGCAACCAAGCCCGUGCACCACAACUACUGAAGCCUGGACUCUAGAACCUGUGUUCUGCAACAAGAGAAGCCACCUCAAUGAGAAGCCUGCCUGGCCCAACUAGAAAGUAGC